UACGGAGGAGGCAAGAGUUAUCCGGAAUUAUUGGGCGUAAAGCGUCCUUAGGUGGCCAUGCAAGUCUGCUGUCAAAGCAUGGAGCUUAACUCCAUAGAGGCAGUGGAAACUGAAUAGCUAGAGUUCGGUAGGGGUAGCGGGAAUUCCCAGUGUAGCGGUGAAAUGCGUAGAGAUUGGGAAGAACAUCGGUGGCGAAAGCGAGCUACUGGGCCGAAACUGACACUGAGGGACGAAAGCUAGUGGAGCGAAAGGG
rnacentral:rRNA from 1 species